rnacentral:rRNA from 1 species
UGGGGAAUUUUGGACAAUGGGCGCAAGCCUGAUCCAGCCAUUCCGCGUGCAGGAUGAAGGCCCUCGGGUUGUAAACUGCUUUUGGACGGAACGAAAAGGCCUUUCCUAAUACGGAGGGCUCAUGACGGUACCGUCAGAAUAAGCACCGGCUAACUACGUGCCAGCAGCCGCGGUAAUACGUAGGGUGCAAGCGUUAAUCGGAAUUACUGGGCGUAAAGCGUGCGCAGGCGGUUAUGUAAGACAGGUGUGAAAUCCCCGGGCUUAACCUGGGAACUGCAUUUGUGACUGCAUAGCUAGAGUACGGUAGAGGGGGAUGGAAUUCCGCGUGUAGCAGUGAAAUGCGUAGAUAUGCGGAGGAACACCGAUGGCGAAGGCAAUCCCCUGGACCUGUACUGACGCUCAUGCACGAAAGCGUGGGGAGCAAACAG